AAAUUGAAGAGUUUGAUCAUGGCUCAGAUUGAACGCUGGCGGCAGGCCUAACACAUGCAAGUCGAACGGUAACAGGAAGCAGCUUGCUGCUUCGCUGACGAGUGGCGGACGGGUGAGUAAUGUCUGGGAAACUGCCUGAUGGAGGGGGGAUAACUACUGGAAACGGUAGCUAAUACCGCAUAAUGUCGCAAGACCAAAGAGGGGGACCUUCGGGCCUCUUGCCAUCGGAUGUGCCCAGAUGGGAUUAGCUAGUAGGUGGGGUAACGGCUCACC
rnacentral:rRNA from 1 species